GUGGCAGCCAAAUGGUGUUAACUGACACUGAGCUUCUGUAGCAGUAGUUUUAACUCUGCAAAGACAGGAUAAACCAAGAAUUCAGAAGGAUCACCACUGUUAACCUGGAGACAACAUUCAUGGCAAAGCUGGACCAGUACUCUCAGAAAAUAAUGUCCUUGCUGUCCUCAAGAGGAGGGGCUGCAAAAAUGCGCAUUCGGUGCAUCCAGAACAUGCUGCUAGAGGACGAUUCUGUGGAGAGAAGGCGAGAGGUCGCUAUCCGUGGCUUAGUGGUGUAUCUCAGGGAAAAGGAGGAGGAUCUCUUCAAAGAGCAGGAUGGUGGCGGGGAUAUUACCAAUGAAGUGAUGAAGAUUGUAACCAGAGGUGCCACAACGUCUGAUCCAGCCAGCGCAAGGAUCAUACUUGAAGGAACAGAAGUCCUAGCAGACCUGGAUGUACCCAGAGCCUGUGCCUUGCUAAUGGGGCUGAUAUAUGCACUCAACCUCAGCUACCCAAAAGAACUGAAAAACACUUUUGAAGUGUUUCAAAAGAUAUUCCUCGAGCUGGAUGAUCUGAAAGCCAGUCCUAAGGUAAUGUCACUAAAAAGUAAACUGUUGUACUAAAAAAUGUGAAGAGUGAGGCUAUCCUCAAAUUAAACGGGAAAUGUUCCACUGUUGUUUGCAAUGUGUUGUGUUACAUACUGUACAGUAGGCAGUAGGUGUAAAGUUGAGCGUUGAGCAUUAAGUACACCUAGUUCAAAAUAAUGCACUUUAAAAGGAUAGCUCGGGUCUUUUGAAGUGAGGCUGUAUGAGGUACAUAUGUAUAGUGAGUGUCUUACACACAGUAGAUGGCAGUCAGUAAGCUCCACCUACGGAGAAGCAGACGGGGCCACCGGCACGCAAGAUGAGCCUCCAUCCUAAUAAAACUGAUGUCAGUUUAAAUGUACAUUAUAUCAAGAAUAUGUUUACUGCUUUAUUUUGCUAUCAGACAGCCUUUUCUGUGAGGAAAGAGAAGUUCUACUGCUUGUUGUUUCAAUCGCUCUGGCCCACCAGCGUCCAUGGACAAAAACAGCAAUUUUACCUGACAGCACACAGGAGUUGCUGGUCUCCUGCUGCCUUGAUCAGUAAGUGUAAUUGUGUUAUUUGGUGACUUUGGUGUUAGUUCGGGUUAGUUCAGAUUUACCAAAGUCACACAAACAAACUGAGCCUAUCGUGC
ensembl:lncRNA